rnacentral:rRNA from 1 species
UAAUGUCUGGGAAACUGCCUGAUGGAGGGGGGUAACUACUGGAAACGGUAGCUAAUACCGCAUAAUGUCGCAAGACCAAAGUGGGGGACCUUCGGGCCUCAUGCCAUCAGAUGUGCCCAGAUGGGAUUAGCUAGUAGGUGGGGUAACGGCUCACCUAGGCGACGAUCCCUAGCUGGUCUGAGAGGAUGCCAGCCACACUGGAACUGAGACACGGUCCAG